AGAGAGAGACAUGCGCGCAUAUCAAUAAGCGGAGGAAAAGAAACUAACAAGGAUUCCCCUAGUAACGGCGAGUGAAGCGGGAAGAGCUCAAAUUUGAAAUCUUAAAGGGUUUCCCUUUACGAAUUGGUAGUUUAAAGAAGUGUUUUCUGUUGAGGUUUUGGUAAAAGUUCUUUGGAAUAGGACAUCAUAGAGGGUGAGAAUCCCGUAUUUGACCUUUACUUUCAACUUUGUGAUACACUUUCAAAGAGUCGGAUUGUUUGGGAAUGCAGUCCAAAAUGGGUGGUAAAUUUCAUCUAAAGCUAAAUAUUGGCGUAGAGACCGAUAGCGAACAAGUACCGUGAGGGAAAGAUGAAAAGAACUUUGAAAAGAGAGUUAAACAGUACGUGAAAUUGUCAAAAGGGAAGCGUUUGACACCAGUGUUGUUUUUCUGAAAAUCAAUUAAAGAACUGUUUAUGCUAAGCUGUUUAGACUUUAUCAGCUAACUGUUUAGUUUUGAGCUUUUCUUUAAUGCACUUUUCAGUUAACAAGUCAACAUCAAUUUCUUUUGCUGUAAAAAAGCUUGAGGAAGGUGGCUUGAGAUUCGUCUUAAGUGUUUAUAGCCUCUUGCCUAUGCAGUCGGAGAGAUUGAGGUCUGCAGCGUAGAUCCUUCGGGGCUAAAUGCAUUUGUGCUAAGUUAUAGCAUUUUAUAGACAACUUGUUGACUAUGAUUUGUCUCGUAGCUUACUCGCUUAUGUUAUUUUACCUACGCUUAGGAUGUUGACGCAUGAGAUAUACG
rnacentral:rRNA from 1 species